AAUAUAGUAGUUGAUCAACAACAUUAAAUUGCAAGUUUAAAAGUAUAUAUACACAAUAUCUAUAUUU
rnacentral:tRNA from 1 species